GCAGUCGUGGUCGAGUAGUAUAUAAGGCGAUAGACUAGAAAUCUAUUGGGAUCUUCCCGCAGAGGUUCGAAUCCUAUUGACUGCG